GAUGAACGCUGGCGGCGUGCCUAAUACAUGCAAGUCGAGCGAACAGACGAGGAGCUUGCUCCUCUGACGUUAGCGGCGGACGGGUGAGUAACACGUGGAUAACCUACCUAUAAGACUGGGAUAACUUCGGGAAACCGGAGCUAAUACCGGAUAAUAUAUUGAACCGCAUGGUUCAAUAGUGAAAGACGGUUUUGCUGUCACUUAUAGAUGGAUCCGCGCCGCAUUAGCUAGUUGGUAAGGUAACGGCUUACCAAGGCAACGAUGCGUAGCCGACCUGAGAGGGGGAUCGGCCACACUGGAACUGAGACACGGUCCAGACUGCGACGGGAGGCAGCAGUAGGGAAUCUUGCGCAAUAGGAGAAAGCAUGACGGAGCAACGCCGCGUGAGUGAUGAAGGUCUUCGGAUCGUAAAACUCUGUUAUUAGGGAAGAAGAAAUGUGUAAGUAACUAUGCACGUCUUGACGGUACCUAAUCAGAAAGCCACGGCUAACUACGUG
rnacentral:rRNA from 1 species